AGAUUGAUAUUUCACCCAUUCUUGAGAGUCGGGACAAAACAUGUCCUACAUAGAAAAGUCUAAUUUAUUCAAAACAAUUAAGAAAUUCUAAAUGUUUGACAUACUCAAAAAGUUAAAUCUAAUGGAUUUGUGUAUACCAAUCCUAUUUUUUAGCACAGAUAUUUACUUUUUUGGGGGAUAUUUGUUUAAAUGAAACGUCUGUGGUUAGAAGGUCCAUGUUAUUGCUUGUGUCCUCAGCAAGAGGUCACAAUAUUGACCAGCCCCAAAAAACUUUAAAAAACUCUAUAAUUGUGAAAACAUAUACAUCAAAUAAAAAUUCAGGGCUAUAAAUAUAUAAACAAUGAAUGGCCUGAACAUCAAAUAGCUUUUUGCCUAAAAAUCUGCCUAUCAAAGUUGUGUCCUCAGUUUCUGUCAACUCCAUCAGAUUAUUCUAUAAACCUCAUUAAAUCAUGCAAUAUCAUGGUCAGCUAUAUCCCUGAGGACCCCUUUUCAUUUCCUGCUUCUGGUGAAUGCAACACCACCACACAUGGUCUGGUAAGUUUUACAGUUUUUGAUAUUUUAGACAAACAAUGUCAAUAUUUGUAUGGUCACAGCUGGACCAUGUCAACACCGUCUCUCCAUUAUUAUACUUUUUUUUAAACCAUAGUGAGUUCAAUUAAAGUAUUUUAGUGAGAUUAUCAGGACAGCUAGCAACUGCCAAAAAAGUACCUAGCUGCACUGUACAAUAAAUGUUUUGGAGGGAAAAUACAUGCCCUUAUGUCAACUCCGUCAGACGUCAACUCCGUCAGAUUUUGUGUCUGAUGGAGUUGACAUGUAAGCUGAUGGAGUUGACAAAUCCACCUAUAACCUCUUAAUGUGCUGACAUUAUGCUAUUUUUGAACAUGGUUAAGGAUAACAAUGUUAUUCCAGGGUCUUAUCUGCACAUAAAAGUACAUAUAUAGCAUAUAUUACGUUAUUUUACCAUAUACUUCUGUUUUGUAGAGUAGACCAUGGGCAGGCUGUCUGCUUAAUUAUAACUGUCAAACUUUCCCAACACACACACACACACACACACACACACACACACACACACACACCUAAUCUCAUUGAUUGAUUGAUUGAUUAAUGUACAAUCCUAAAGGUGCAGUAUGUAAUUUUCACUACCUAAAAUCUACACACUGGCUUCUUAUAGAGUGCGCAAGAAGUUCUAUGUUGCUCUUUUAAACCCCAGUGUAGGUGGGAUACCAGAUAGAAGAAAAAGGUUAUUAUUUUUACAUUGUUAACUUGGACCCUCAGACCUUGGGCUCUAUUUUUGUGUCCACCGGCGACAUGGCGGAGGGUGGCGAACCCCGCGCAGUGGCAUUUUCGUCUGGCGGAGCUCAGCGUACAGCCAGUUUGGUAUUUUCGUGGACUGAGGUGCACCGAGGUCCGCCAAGCUGGGCGUGGAUGUGUGGCAGGGUGAGGUGUCCACAGAAUCAGCUGGUGCAGUGACAUUUUCGUACUUGUUGCUGGCGUGUAAAGUGCGCUGAAAGCUCGCAGAUUCAAACCUGGUCAGCUUUCAGCGCAGGUGGAUCCGGAUGGGCUAGUGGUAUUUUGGGAGACCGGCGGCAUAUCGGCCUCACCAGCAGGUUUCCACAGUGUCAGGAACAUUUCAGUGCUGAAUGGCUAACCUGCUCCGGGGCAGGUUAGGUUCCAGAUUGAACUCACCAAGUAUAAAAAACCCCACCCACUGACCGAUGAGCUCUCUCGGAAAAUGGCUUGUUCGUUCUUGGAGGCGCGCGAGAGUUUAAUUUUUUUUUCUUAAUGUGUCCCUUCGUCGUAAUUUCGCUGGUGCAACAGAUAGACAAGAUUAUACAAAAGAAAUAAGCCCUUAUUAUUUUUAUGUGCCUUUUUGGGAUAUAUCUGAGCAAUUUCACAUAAUAAUCUGAAAUUCACCAUUUAUUGUAAUUGUAUUACAUAAGCUAUUUGAUGUAUAAAUAGGCAGUGAUGGUAGUACAGGGUCCCCCGCUGGGCCCCUGCAGCGUUACCGCAUGUGUAUCAAGGUCUCCCGUUUUGUCUUUACAUGGUAAGAGAACCUGUAAUGAGCGCCGCUCAAAACACGUUGAAAUAUGUAGGCUACUUUUUAAUGUUAAAAUGCAUUUUACUUAGGCCUACAGGAAAUGUUCAAGAGAUUGAUAUAACACGUCUGUGCUACUGUUGCUGUUAAAUGACAUGAACUGUUAAUUAGAGAUCAUAUCGUUGUUUAAAUUUGCCAGAAAAAAAAAUGCUUGCGAUGUUGACAUGUAGUUACUGUAAGACUGGUUUGUGCUCAAGUCCUAUUUUUUAUUUUUUUAUACAGCUCCGUUUUUAACUCAGAAUUACCGAGAGCUUUUCAGCUUCAAAUUUGUAUACUGGCGAAAAGGCGGAACCAAGUUGUCUAUAGUAUAUACGUUGGUACCAACGGUGAUUGUUUAUGACUGGUCUACCACAAAAUAGCCCUUAUUUAUCAAGCUUGCGUAAGGCAGAAAACUUAUGUACACCUUGCGACGUAAGGAUUGGCAGUUAUCAAUCUGCACAUGAGUGUACGCUACGACCAAAUCUCACGACAGGUCUGACAUCGUGUAGGCAAGUUUGAGUCAGUCUGGAUUUGCGGUGAAAACAAUAAGCAAAAGCAUAAACAGCCAGAUAUUCAGUAGUCAUACUGAUCAUUUUUGUCAUUAUCAUAUUCACCCAUUUUUUACGUAUCAUGAAAAAAAAUUCCACUGGUCUGGUUUUCACAGCAGUCAUAGCUCCAGCACACUGACCAACUUGCAAAAAAAAAAAAAAAAUUCUUUAAUUGGGCGAUGUUUCAGUGUCAAACCUAUAUCAAACAAAGGGGCUCUUUUUUUUCCACUUCUUCGUUCCUGGAUUCUGACACUUGCCGUGUCAUCCUUUGACGCACCAGGCAAAAUAAAUUCCCCUCCUUUUUAUGAAUGGCAGCAAUAGUAAAAGCCAAAUUUUCAUUCGGAGAGAAGCUGGUAAACGGAAAAAAGACAAAAUUUCUGCAUACAAGAUUGCAUAAAAGCAUAAAAUACUCUAAACAAACGGGUCCAAGUCCGGGCGUUUUGAUUAAUGUGACGCAUCGAUUUGUGUCAAGAAUUGUGAUUGGUCAGAUGUUAAUUCUCUCCCCUAUUUAAACAAGAGCUUUGACAGUUGUCAGAUCUCGAUAAUGGCAGCUUCUACUAGAAGAGUAUGCACAGGUGAGAUGGGAGCAGGGAUCUCCUCAUGGAGAGCAAUGAGUGGCUCAUCAUUCACUUUCAGCUUCCAAGGCAUGUCCUGAUAGAUUUAUGCGACAAUUUAGAAGCCUGUUUAAGGUGGGACGCUAGGUGGUCAAACACCUUGCCAGUGCCGGUGCAGGUGAUCGUCACCAUAGGGUUUUUGGCUACUGGGACCUUGCAGAGGGAGAUUUGAGACAGAGCUGGGGUCGACAAUAGCCACGUUUACAUGCAGACUUUUUUCUCAUUCGGAUUAUAAUCAUUCCGAUUGAAGCUCCCAGGCGAACUGUUUACAUGGAAGCGAUCUAUUCUGAUCUGGUGUUUACAUGUGCCACGGCAUUCAAUCGGAACAGCUAUUUACAGACACGUGAUACCUUCAAACAUCACGUGAUUGAUUGAUCACGUGAUCUCCGACGCAGACCAGUGCAUCGUGCUCUGCUUGGAAGCCGCCAUCAUGUUUCCAUGUGAGUCAUACGUCACUGCUUGUUUACAUCAGGACAGAGCAUGCGCAGACAGAACCCAGCCUGACAACUUUCCGAUUCACCGUUUACAUGACAGGAUUUUGCUUUUAAUCGGAAUGGGAAAAGGAAAAUUCUACCCCUGUGAAUCGGAAUGAAAUUCCACUCGGAAUGGGCCUGUUUAUUCCGAAUGAGGUGUUUAUAUGGAGCAUUUUCAUUCCGAUUGGGCUUCUAAUCCGAUUAUAUUCGGAAUAUUUGGCUCCAUGUAAACGUAGCUAAUGAGCAGGAUGAUGCCAGAUGUGUUGGCGGCCAUCAAGUCCACUCUAGGAACUACAUCCAGUUCCCCUGAAUGAUGCCCAGCAAUCUGUGAUUAAAAGGCAAUUUUAUGAGAUUGCUGGGUUUCCAAAUGUAAUUGGAGCGAUGGAUUGUAGCCAUGUGCGUCUGAAGCCACCAUGCAUGAAUGAUUACACAUUUAUCAAUCGCAAAAAUUACCAUUCGAUCAAUUUGCAAGUCAUUUGUGAUGCCAAGCUGGCAUUACUAAAUGUGGUAGCCAAGUGGCUGGGAGGGAUGCACGAUUCUUUUAUACUUCAAAAUAGAAGUGUCUGUGCACGGCUACAGUCAGAGUCAUCUCCUCGGUAAGUGGCCUGAAUAAAUCUGCAAUAGGAUUGAAGCAAAGUCUGAUGUUGUCUGACGUUUCCAUGUAGUUAUUUUUCUAGGUGACAAAGGUUAUGCCCUGACGGAGUACCUGGUAACCCCACUGGCAAACCUGACCACAGAGAGGGAGUGGCAAUUCAUUGCGCACACACGCACAGGUGUCACUGUGGAGCGCUGAUUUGAUCUCCUGAAGGGCAGGUGGUUCUGUCUUGCUCCAGCAGGGGGAAAAUUGCUGUACACACCCGAAAAGGUGUGUGACAUCAAUUUGGCUUGUGCGGUUUUGCUCAACGUGGCGUUGGUAAAUGGCGUGCCAUUGGAUGUGCCGGUGCAAAGAGAGGACGCGAUGCCUAUUGAACCGUGGCAAGGCGACGCUCCACCAGGUGCUGUACUGAUGAGACGGCACCUGACCAACCGCUUCUAAAAUGUUGGUAGGCCUUUAAGUUGAGGAAGUUCUGACUAUUUAACUGAUUUAAUGGCUAAAAUCAGACGAAUUGAAUUAAACUACACUACGGGCCAAAAGUUUGGAAGCAAGGCCAUUACAGGCCGAACAGUUGGAAGUAACUUCAAGUUUUUGAUCACAAUGCUUUUUUUUUAAAUCCAGCAUGAGUUUUAUGUAUUUUGGGAUGUAUUUACUCCAUGAACAGAUGUUGCUUUCAUGGAAAUGCACCAUUUUACUCCAUUUACCUUUAAAUAUACAUUGAUGUCAACAGACCAUGGCUAAAUUUAUGUCAGCAAAAGAUAAUAAGGGCUUAGUUUUAGGGUUGAAAACAUUGGCAAGAGUCACAACUUCAGUGCAAAAGCAAAAAAAACCCAAAUCACAGUUGGAUUAUUCACUUCUCCUUUUUGGCUUUUUUAGAGGCUGCAUACAAAAAUCCUAAUAAAUCUCAACUGCGUUCAAACUAGUGCAGAAAUGGCUAGAAAGAAGCCAUUGAAUAAAGAAACAAAAGUACAGAUUCGUACAUUGAGGACAGAAGGAUACACAGAAAGAGAAAUUGCAAAACGCCUAAAGGUGUUUAACAAAGGAGUCCACUACACUCCGAAGAGACUAGAGGAACCUGGAAGUUAUGAUGAUAGACAAAGGCCUAGAUGAAAGAGAGUUACUACAAAAGCAGAGGAUAAACAUAGCAUUGUCACCAGUAAGAGAGAUCGGUGAAAGACAGCGCCACAAAUAAGGGAGGAAAUCAACAUGACCAGGUUGAAACCCAUAUCUCUGACAACCGUGAAAUGUCGUUUGAGAAAGGCUGGUCUGAAGGGUUGUGUAUCUGCAAAAAACACUACUUCGUCCACAGAACAAGAAAAACAGAUAUGAGUGGGCAAAAGCUCACAAAAAAUGGACUUAUGAUGACUAGAAACACGUUUGCACUUUUUGGUUCAAAACGAAGAGUCUAUGUCCGCAGACAAACUAGUGAACUUCUGAAUGCACCAUGUGUUACACCCCCAAUUCAGCAUGGAGGUGGUAGUUCCAUGGUAUGGGGAUGUUUUGCAGGUGAUGGAGUAGGAGAUUUGUUUGAAUUAAAGGGUAUCAUGAAGAAGGAACAAUACCACUCCAUCCUCCAGCACCAUGCUGUUCCAUCUGGACUCAGACUUGUGGCCCAUAAGUUUGUUUUGCAGCAAGACAAUGACCCUAAGCACUCUGCCAAGUUCUGUCAGGGUUACAUAGACAAAAAAAAGAGGAAGGUGUUCUUCAAAAGAUGGUUUGGCCCCCUCAAUCUCCAGACCUUUCUCAAUUGAGCUUGCGCGGGAUGAAUUGGAUUGAUCGGUCAGAAAAACGCAUCCCACGAAUCAGCAGUCACUUUUUAAUAAAUUUAAGAAAGCUUGAAAUGCAAUCCCUGGAACAUACCUUAGAAAACUUGUGGAACGAAUGCCUGGUACAUGCCAAGCUGUUGUUAAAGCCAGAGGAGGUUACUUUAAAGAAAGCAAAGUCUAAGCAACAAUAACUCAGAUACCUAAUAAUUAUGGUCAAAAUGUCUUCUGAUUAAUUACUCUUUACACAAUAGUCAUGUUUAUUGUGUUGCAAAUUAUAUAUGUGUGAAACUGUGAUCUUUUUUUGUACGAAUCUGCUCUUGCUUCCAAACUUUUGGCCUGUAGUGUAAAUGCUUGAAAUAAAAAAAAUAAAGAUUAUUAUAUUCAAGAAAUUUUAUUUAUUCAAAUUGUCAUUUAUUCUCUGUCAAGUUUCGUUGAUUGCCUCAAGUGAGGUCACAACUGCCGCCAAUAAACGGCAAAUCUCCGUUUGUCUUUCUAGGACCUCCGCAGUGAUAAUGGCCCUUGCAGUACGGGAAGCUGGUACUCGCUCGCCCUCAGUGCUCAGCUGUCUCCGUUCGGGGUCUGGAUCAGUGGGACCGUCCUCAUUGCGCACAGACGUCGCCACCGUGCUGCUGGAGCCUGGCUCUGAAAUCAUAAUUGAGGACAAUAAAAAAUGUGCAAAUGUAAAAA